UGGGGAAUAUUGGGCAAUGGGGGAAACCCUGACCCAGCAACGCCGCGUGAAGGAAGAAGGCCUUCGGGUUGUAAACUUCUUUUAUCAAGGAAGAUAAUGACGGUACUUGAUGAAUAAGCCACGGCUAACUACGUGCCAGCAGCCGCGGUAAUACGUAGGUGGCAAGCGUUGUCCGGAUUUACUGGGUGUAAAGGGCGUGUAGGUGGGAAAGUAAGUCCGAUGUGAAAUACUCAGGCUCAACCUGAGGGCUGCAUUGGAAACUAUUUUUCUUGAGUGAUGGAGAGGCAGGCGGAAUUCCGUGUGUAGCGGUGGAAUGCAUAGAUAUACGGAGGAACACCAGUGGCGAAGGCGGCCUGCUGGACAUUAACUGACACUGAGGCGCGAAAGCGUGGGGAGCAAACA
rnacentral:rRNA from 1 species